UACGGAGGGUGCAAACGUUGCUCGGAAUCAUUGGGCGUAAAGCGCACGUAGGUGGCCAACUAAGUCGGACGUGAAAUCCCUCGGCUUAACCGGGGAACUGCGUCCGAUACUGGUUGGCUUGAGUUUGGGAGAGGGAUGCGGAAUUCCAGGUGUAGCGGUGAAAUGCGUAGAUAUCUGGAGGAACACCGGUGGCGAAGGCGGCAUCCUGGACCAAUACUGACGCUGAGGAGCGAAAGCCAGGGGAGCAAACGGG
rnacentral:rRNA from 1 species